GAUGAACGCUAGCGGGAGGCCUAAUACAUGCAAGUCGAGCGGUAGAGUGACUUCGGUUGCUUGAGAGCGGCGAACGGGUGAGUAACGCGUACACAAUCUACCUUUAAGAGGGGAAUAGCCCUGGGAAACUGGGAUUAAUGCCCCAUGGCAUCACGAAGUGGCAUCGCUUUGUGAUUAAAGCUGAGGUGCUUAGAGAUGAGUGUGCGUCUGAUUAGCUAGUUGGUGCGGUAACGGCGCACCAAGGCGACGAUCAGUAGGGGGCGUGAGAGCGUGGACCCCCACACGGGUACUGAGACACGGACCCGACUCCUACGGGAGGCAGCAGUAAGGAAUAUUGCGCAAUGGGGGAAACCCUGACGCAGCUAUGCCGCGUGGGUGAUGAAGGCCUUCGGGUC
rnacentral:rRNA from 1 species